ACCCCCUCAGGCUCGCAUCUGGAGAGUUUCCAGUACUCUACUAGUCUUAACCAUGGGAGGGAGAGUCAAGUAGAGGCCUUCCCAUUCCAUUCCUAGCUUGGGCAGUGGCUAGUGAGUGGAAAGCAAUCUGCUACAAGU